ensembl:lncRNA
GCUGCCACCCCCAUUCCAGCCAUCUCCUGCCUGUUACUUCUGCACUACUGUCCUGCAGUGCCUUGGGGAAUCCCUCUGUGGUGGUGGCCAAGGGGACAGGCAGUGACAGACCUGCUGGGAUUCCUGAGAUUACAAUUUUCCUGAGGUACCUCUGAACUGAACCCCUGGUGCCGACAUCUGCCUGGCACCAGCUGCUCACGGUGAUGGACGGGGACUGGUGGGGACAGUGGCACCAUGUCUGAGUGUUCUCCUCUGUUUGUCACUGUGACUCCAGCAGCCCAGGGCCACAGGACAGCAGAAGAAGUGCCAGUGGUUGGUGGGUUUGGGGUGAUUUUUAUAAAAAGAAUACAACACAAAGCAGGUUGCAGCUCCGCGUUUGGGUGUGGGUUAUGUCGCCAGCCUCCUUCUGGAUGUUUUGUUUGCACUAUGGUGCUGGGAAGCAGAUAAGUUCAAACAUUGCAGAAGAGAAGCAGAGCAGAGCUGGGGGACAAGACAAAUUUGUGGCUGAGGAGUUCACGGGCCCUGCAGCCACUGUGGGAUGUGCUGUGGUCAGCUCGGCCCUGGGACCGGCCUGCACUGCCGAGACACGAGCGAUGGAGAGGACAGGCUGCAGCACAAGGCCUGCCAAGGAAGAUCACCUUGGAAAUCCCCCAGCGAUGGCUGGCUCCUGUUUUCCACCUGGGAUGUUUUUCCUAUGGCCUGUCCAGCUGGGUCAGACCCCCAGGUGCUCAGCAGUCACAUUCCUGUCCUUGCCAGCUGCUGCUCCCUGACAAAGCUGAACCCACCUCUGAAAGUGCCUGAUGCCCUCGGACCUCACACCUGCCUGGCUCCCCUGGGCACCUGCAGCCCCCUGCCCCCACACCUGCUCUGCUCCUGUCAUGGCUCUGCAGACCUGGGAUUCCAGCUAUGCUCUUUCCCUUCAUUUGUCCCGAAUAUUUUGUCCCAACUAUUUUUUUCCAAAGCCAGCAGAUGAGUGUUCUGGAGCCAAGACCAAGGCCAGGGUCUAUGGGACCUGUGGGACCAUGGGACUCCUCUCUGAAUCCUGUCCAUGGAGAGGUGGCUGUGGGAACUGGCUGCUGCCACCAGAGCUCUUUGGGGGGCUGCAAGGGAAGCACCCCUGCUCUUGGAAGCAGCACACACAGCUGCUACUGAUGGCAGUGGCUGAUUGCAGCCCAGGAGGACACCACUGGGCACUCACUGUCCCAUGUACAUGGCCCUGUAUGCACCACACCACCCACACACCAUCCCUUACACACCACCCACACCCCAUGCCAUGUGCACCACCCACACCCCAUCCCUUACACACCACCCACACACCCCAUCCCAUGUGCACCACCCCACACAUCAUCCCUUACACACCACCCACACACCCUAUCCCAUGUGCACCACCCACACCCCAUCCCUUACACACCACCCACACCCCAUCCCAUGGGCACUGCCCCACACACCCAGCCUGUCCCCAGUACACACACAGCAGCCAAGCCUUUGUGCUCUGUGGUGUUUUAGUUCCCAUCUUCCUGCUCAUGCUGAGUUCAUCAAAACCACCUGCCCAGACAGGCUGUCAGUGA